GACGAACGCUAGCGGCGUGCUUAACACAUGCAAGUCGAACGGAAAGGCCCUGCUUUUGUGGGGUGCUCGAGUGGCGAACGGGGGAGUAACACGUGAGUAACCUGCCCUUGACUUUGGGAUAACUUCAGGAAACUGGGGCUCAUACCGGAUAGGAGCUCCUGCUGCAUGGUGGGGGUUGGAAAGUUUCGGCGGUUGGGGAUGGACUCGCGGCUUACCAGCUUGUUGGUGGGGUAGUGGCUUACCCAGGCUUUGACGGGUAGCCGGCCUGAGAGGGUGACCGGCCACAUUGGGACUGAGAGACGGCACAGACUCCUACGGGAGGCAGCAGUGGGGAAUAUUGCACAAUGGGCGGAAGCCUGGUGCAGCAACGCCGCGUGCGGGAUGACGGCCUUCGGGUUGUAAACCGCUUUCGCCUGUGACGAAGCGUGAGUGACGGUAAUGGGUAAAGAAGCACCGGCUAACUACGUG
rnacentral:rRNA from 1 species